rnacentral:rRNA from 1 species
AGCUCCAUUGGCGUAUAUUAAAGUUGUUGCGGUUAAAAAGCUCGUAGUUGGAUCUGUGUAUCGGACGGUCGGUUCGCCGCCCGCGGUGUUUAACUGACCGGUCCGGACGUCCUGCCGGUGGGACCCGGUUCACGCCGGGGCCCGUAACUCCCUCCGUGCUGCUCUUAACCGAGUGGUACGGUGGGCCGGCACGUUUACUUUGAACAAAUUUGAGUGCUCAAAGCAGGCCUUAUGUUGCCUGAAAAUUGUGUGCAUGGAAUAAUGGAAUAGGACCUUGGUUCUAUUUUGUUGGCUUUUCUGAACUCGAGGUAAUGAUUAAUAGGGACAGACGGGGGCAUUCGUAUUGCGACGUUAGAGGUGAAAUUCUUGGAUCGUCGCAAGACGAACCGAUGCGAAAGCGUUUGCCAAGAAUGUUUUCGCUAAUCAAGAACGAAAGUUAGAGGUUCGAAGGCGAUCAGAUACCGCCCUAGUUCUAACCAUAAACGAUGCCAGCCAGCGAUGCGCCGAAGUUCUUUAAAUGACUCGGCGCGCAGCUUCCGGGAAACCAAAGCUUUUGGGUUCCGGGGGAAGUA